rnacentral:lncRNA from 1 species
AGAAGAGCCGAGAGGGCUGGUUUCAAGGCAAUUGCCCUUACAGUUGAUACUCCGAGACUCGGUCGCAGAGAAGCUGAUAUCAAGAACAGGUAUCAUUGUCUCGCAGAGUCUUCGAGGCCGUUAAGCAUUCUUCGUAAUAUGCUCGAGUUACACUCAAAGAGUCUUGUGUUUCAAAAUUCCCUUGCAGGUUCACUUUACCACCAUUUUUGACAUUGAAGAACUUUGAAGGUUUGGACCUUGGCAAGAUGGAUCAAGUGAGUAGUCCUUUCGACAUUUGUGUUAAAAAAUAUACUAAUGAGAUGAGCAUUUGUUUUCUAAGAUAUUUAACUUGUUAUUGGGAGCCAUGCAGGCUGAUGACUCGGGUCUUGCUUCGUAUGUUGCCGGACAAAUCGAUCGUUCCCUUAGCUGGAAGGUACGUAUAUGCACGAGCCGAUCCAGGGCUUCUAUCGGUUAAUUACAAUGUUCAUGUUAUAGUUUUGAUUAAACGUGUAAUAAAUGUACUCUAUUGGCUAUGCAUAGGAUGUGAAAUGGCUUCAAACAAUCACCAAAUUGCCAAUUCUUGUGAAGGGUGUACUCACGGCUGAAGAUAGUAAGAAAGAACUCGAACCCUUCUCUGUUUCUCAGGUCCGUUUUGAUAACAUAUACUGAUUUUUUGAACUAUAUAUCGAUGCUUGUCUCGUAGCAAGGAUAGCGAUACAGGCUGGAGCAGCCGGUAUCAUCGUCUCCAACCACGGAGCUCGCCAACUUGAUUACGUUCCUGCCACUAUCAUGGCCCUGGAAGAGGUAAACCAGUGGUUUCAGACAUAGGGAACACAUAACCGAAAACUUCAUGUUUCACAAAUUAUUGAAACUCUCUCAGGUUGUCAAAGCUGCUCAAGGUCGGGUUCCUGUCUUCUUGGACGGUGGUGUUCGGCGUGGAACCGAUGUUUUUAAAGCUUUGGCAUUGGGAGCCUCUGGUAUAUUUGUAAGUAUAUAACUGUCCUCCCGUAUAGGGGUUGCACCAUGAAGCUGCAAAAGUUGAUAUUAUACAAUCGUGCAUUGUUAUAACAAUGGUGCGCCUUAAAUCUCAGAUUGGGCGACCAGUGGUGUUCUCAUUGGCUGCUGAAGGAGAAGCUGGCGUGAGGAAAGUGCUUUCGAUGCUGCGCGACGAGUUCGAGCUAACCAUGGCGUUGAGCGGUUGUCGUUCGCUUAAAGAAAUCACUCGUGACCACAUCGUGACAGAAUGGGACAGUCCUCAUCCUCGUCCGGCCCCGAGACUGUAGAGUCCUAUAUAUUAUGGGCGUGCAACUUUAGCCUAGCAAAUCGCAAGAUGAACUUAGUUGGAGCUCAAGAGAUAUAUAUAGCAUUUGCAUUGCAUUUAUGGCAUAAAAUUACUGUCCUUUUUUUUCUUUGGGAACAAGUUUCUGUUUCAUUGAGUUAAAAGGUUAUGUAAUGAUAAUGUUGGCUACUGUUGCCUUUUCUGUAUAUUCUUUUCUUAAAAACAAAUUGGUAAUAUGGUUGUCGAAACCAUCUUUUGAGUUUGAAAAAACGGGGAUCGACUUUUAAAAUGAAAACGGAGAAUUGUCACCGAUCUUUUAUUGAGGUGUGAUCGGAUCACCUUGAAAACGAUUUUAGGUCUACGAAUUUUGAGAAAACUGGUUCAGGAAUCGAUUAUGCACGAGGAAGGGUUAGCACCCUCGUAACGCCCAAAAUUGGUACCGAAUUGAUUGUUUAAUGUCUUAAUAUGAAAAAUUUGAAAAGAUUUUUAAUAUACGAUCCAUUGAAAAAGAGAAUUUGAAUAGAAUGAAUUUGAUUGAUGUGACUCACUUAUUUUAAAGAAAUAAAUUAUCACACUCAAUAAGUUAGAGUGUAACAUUUUAAAUCCUCAAAAUUAAGUUUAUUUUUUUACUUUUGAAAUUUAUGCAUUUUUGAGAAGGAUAUCAGGUUAUUUGGGUCAAACGAUAAAUUAAACCCAGUAAGUUAGGGUUUAUUUCCUCGAAAUUCCUAAACACCAAAUAUUGCCUUUAUUUUUUUCAUUAGAAAAACAAAAUUCUCAUCUCGAGACAACAAUACGUCAUAUCCAAUGCGUUAGGACACUAUGUAUUGAAUUCUCGAGAAUGAGCUUUUUAUUUUGAAAUUUCUAUAUUCAAUUUGAAAAAAGGGGUAUUCGGUUAUUUAAAUCCAGCAAGGAGAAUUGAAGCCCAGUAAGUUAGGGUACAAUCCUCUCGAGAAUUUUGGAUACCGAGUAUUUGAAAAUUGUGAAAUAAAAAUGAUUUUGGUGCUUUAAUAAAAUACAAUUUUUACAAAUGAGACAUGAUUGAAGCAAUAUAUAAUGUAAAACAUAAAUAACAACCUAAGUAUGCACUAAUAAAUUGUAAACAAAUAGUAGGUAAAUGUAAAUAACCAUAUGAUUUGUCAUAUUAUACAAAUAUCAAUAUUAAUAUUCUAAACUAAAUAACUCUAGCAUCAAUUAAAAGAUACACCAAAAUAAAAAUAAAAAUCACUAUGUUCUACGUAUAGGAAUUUUAAAAUAAAUUACAUACAUGAAUUCAUAAUAGACUUGAAAUAAAAUAAUAGCAUAUAGAUAUACAAAAAAAAACAAAAUUUAAGACACAAUCUAAAACAAAACGUUAAAAUAUAUACGUAUUAUAUCAAAUUCUUACAAAAAAAAAUAUAUAUAUAUAUAUAUAUUAAUAAAUGAUGAACCAAAUAAUAUCAUGUCAAGUUUGAAAAUAAUAGUAUAUAAUAGACUCUAAAAAAACAAUGUAUGAUAACUUUAAAACAUAUUAACUUGAAAUAUUAAAAUAAUAUUAGAAAUACGAACUAAAUUUGUCAAAAUAUGAACUAAUUCGAUUUAAAAUUAAACUAAUAAAAGUUUAGUUAAAAUUGAAACACGGUAAAAAAAAACAAAAAUAGAAUAAACUAGAGGAAUCAAAAUUAAAUUGAAAUUAAAACAAAAUUAGAUAGGUAAAAAACAUAAAAGAAAAUAAAAGAAAGAUUAAAUUUAAACUCGAUUUAAAAACCAAGGGACCUCAACAGCAAAUAAGCACAUAAAUCCUGAUAUUCAAAAUCAAACAUGGGAAACGGCACCGUUUGAACGUGGAUCCAUUUGGAAUCGGAACCAAAUAUGCGGUAUAAAUUAAAAAAUUGAAGAAAACCAAACUGAAACAAUACAAAACAAAGGACUUGUUGCUUAAAUAAACCAGAAAGGCUGGACGCGCAGAUCCUUCCCCGGGUCGGGUCACCGCGCGGAUCAAGCCAUCAAACGGCGCCGUUUUGAAGCCAUCGUGUUGGCUCAAACGACGGCAUUUUAUCCCUAUGCUUAAAGGGCUAACAGAACCCUAAGAAACCUGAUAUUAUUUCAACCUAAAAACCUAAAAGAAAAGAACAAUCUCUGCGCCGCUCUACACAACGGUUGUUCAAGAAGGAUCUCCGUACCUUCACUCCAAAAAAGAUCUGGCCACGAGGUACGUCCGUCCCUUCCUUUCUGUUAUUAUAUAUAUAUAUAUACUCAUAUAUAUAUUUAAUGGUAAACAAAAAAGAAAAAAAACAGCAAUCGAAAAAUCGAAUGGAAAAGAGAAAAAAAAAACCUUUCGUAUUGAUUUUCCUUCUUUCUUUACAUUUGCGUGUGUCCCCCCUUUUACAGAUUUUUGCCAUGGCUUUAUAUUGCCAAAAAGAAAAAUAGAAAUCCCCCCCAAAUCCCUUUUUUACGUUUUUCUUAUUUUCUACCAGUUCUUUUUUUGAUUUGUUGUCGAUUUCUGCCCUUUUUUGUUGCAUUCUGUCUGUUGCUUUGCAGGUGUUUGUUGUGAGUUGUUGCAGGUAUCGUACGAAGACGUGGCACGGCUCGGCGCGGUGCAUAGAGGCUACGGUUACGGCGGCUGGAGAGAGCGGCGCUGGAGGCUGCUGUUGCGGCGCUCGUGCUAGGGCUGAAUGCCUAGGGUUUCUGGCAUUUGGUUUAGGCCAGUUGGGCCAGGGUAUUGGGCUUAGGUUCGGGCUAAGUUAAUUGGGUUAGAUUUUGAUGGGCAUUUGGGCUAGUCUAGCUUAGGCUAAAAUGAUUUGGGCCACGUUGGGCCCAUGUAUUUGGACUGUGGACUUUGUUUUACUUUUGUUUUUAUUUAUUUGUGAUUUUGGGCCCUGGAAAAUUGGGCCUAUUACAAUGGGUAUGUUGGAUAAUUACUACAGUCAAGUACAAAUAAUUAGGAAAUAAAAAUAAAUAAAUAAAUAUCACCUUAGGGAGAAUUAUUGUUUUAGAAGCGAUUUCGCCCUUAUUGGUGUAAUUAGAAAUGGACGUUGCCCCCAAAGGUUAAUACAGUGCUUCCAAAUUCGUAAACCUAAAUGAAUAAGAUGGAACUCAAAAGGAUUGUUCUUUUUUGUGAAAAGAAGGAAUGGCAGAAUGAGGGAGGAAACAGUGAAAACUGAGAAGAGGCGGAGAACCAACUGGGAGGAGAAAGAGAGAAGAGAGCUGAAUGGUUUUCUGUACAUUUUGCAAAUGAGGGAAGACUCCCUUUUAUAACUAAAACAAAGGCAAUUUACGUCAAAAAAAUAUUUGAACGGUUCCACAUCAUUCCCCCAAAUCCACUCACUUCAGCUCCUCCAUAAUCGCAUAUUCAAUUUGAAAUUUAUUAUUUAUUAAUUUUAUGAAACAAUUAAACUUUAGAAAAUGAGAUAGAUAAAAAAAAUGUUUUUUCUGAUAAAUUCAUGCGAACUGUACCCAAAAAGAAACACAGUCGUACGUGUCGAUGACAAGAACAUGAACUGGGUGGGCGGCGACAAUGGUGGCGUGCAUGAAUGGGUUUAGUCUUUUAUUAUUCAAUGAGAAUAAACCCAAAAGACUGUAUUUAAACCUUUGUGAAGGCCAAUAUUUUAUCAAUGUGAGAUUUUUUACAUUAUCCAUAUUCUCCAACUAAUGCAAAGAAAUAAAAAUUUUAUAAAAGACGGGAAAAUGAGUAACAGCGAAAUUAGCUGCUUAAGUACUAGUAUCUGUUAAAUUGGCACUAAUACAUAGUGAAAUGAGCAAUUCUUCUUUUAACAAGUGAACGAAUUUGGAACUCGUUCAAAUAGGAGUCAAAUCAUAAAAACAACUAAUCUCAGGUCCAAUAGAGUUCCGCGGUAGAUCAACAAUUUAGCUAAUAUACCUUGGGAUGCUGGUAAAUGCUCUAGAAAAACAACUCAACUUCUUUCAUAAAAGGUGACUAAUCCUUCACACUUAUGUAGGUGAUUUCAUCAAGCCUAUCUCAGUAUAGACCACUCGGGUCAGGGCAAUGAAAUCAUUAAAAGCAUUUAAUAAGCUCAACCUCUUAAUUUAAAAAUUCGGUGAAUUCAACAAGUCUAUCUAAAUAGAACCACCCAGAGCCUGGGAUAUGAAUUCAUAAAGAACAUUUAGUGGCUCAUCCUAUAAAUUCAGUAGGUUUAUCAAGUCUGUCUCAAUAGGACCACCCAAACUCUAGGCUGUGAACUCAUUAAGAGCUUCUGGUAGUUCAUCCUAUAAAUUUGGUGAAUUCAUCAAGUCCGUCUUAGUAGGACCACCCAAACUCUGAGCAAUGAACUCAUUAAGAGUAACAAACUCAUCCUUAUGCAUGUACAUUAUGCGCCAUAGGGAUAGGUAAAUAUGUACUCUAUGAGUCUUUCCAUGGUUUCAUUUAAUCAUAUUGAACUUAAAAGGCUAAGUUGAGUAUCCACCAUGAGUUCCUCAACCAAUGGGCUUAAGACUCAUUCCCCUCGAUGAAUCAAGAACUACUUUCCUAUAUAACCCUUUGGUUAGUGGAUCAGCUAGGUUCCUCUCAGAUCUUACGUACUCCAUGACGAAUACUCCAUCCUUUAUUUUAUUCUUUAUUAAGUGUCUCACAAGUCAUGUCUUAUUUGUAUAUGCCUUUUCUUGCUAUUAUAAGCCUGGAUCUCAUUCUGCAAGCAAAUUCCUGAGCCACUCGACGUCUUGCCUGGCUAAAUCAAGAGUUAUAAACUCUUAUUUUAUGGUGGAGCAAGCAACACAGGAGCGAGUAACACACGUCUGUUUAGUAUACUUCCAAGAAAUAAUUGCUCCACCCAAAGUAAAACAUAUAGCAACUAUUAGAGCUGACCUCAUCAUUAUCAGAUAGAUCUCCUCAUCUAAAUCACCAUUCAAGAAAGUAGUAUUCACAUUCAUCUGAUGCAUAAGUAAGUUGUGAAUGGAAGCUAAAGCAAACAAAACACGAAUGAUUGAGAUCUUAGUAACGGGAGAGUAUGUAUCGAAAAAAUUAACUCCAAAUUUUUGAAUAAAUCCCUUUACAGCUAGUCUUGCCUUAUACAUUUGGAUUGAUCCAUCUGGUCUAAGUUUCUUUCUAAAAACCCAUUUAUUACUAAUAGAUUUAUAAUCUUUAGGUAAGUCCACUAACUCCCAAGUAUGAUUAGAAAUAAUAGAUUCUAGCUCAUUGUUAAUAGCAUUUCUCCAGAAACUAGCAUCAAUUGGUUUUACAACUUCAUCAUAUGUUUUUGGAUCCUCAUCUAUUAGGAAAGUAUGAGCAACAAAAUCACUUAUUAAGUCUAAUUCAACAAUUUUAGUUAUAAAAGAAGUAAGGAAGUCAAGAUCAAAAUUAGUUGCAGUUUUUUGUCUUUUACUCUUCCUAGGUUCAUCAUCAUAUUGAGAAUCCCUAGUAUGUUUACUAGAAGAGGAAGAAUCAUGUUCAUCUAACUGUAUGUCAUGCAUUAUAAUAGAUUUAUUUAAAGGGAAAAUGUUUUCGAAGAAAAUAACAUCUCUAGAUUUGCAAAUAGAAUGAUCAUGCAAUGACAUAAAUCUAUAUGUCGCAUUGUUUAAAGCAUAAUCAAUAAAAGUUGCAUCAAAAGUAUUACAGAUUAGGGGCAUAACAUUUUCAUAAUUCAUAUGGGGUGCAGUCUAAUUUUUUAUGAGGCACUCUGUUAAGAAUGUUAUUUGCAGAAAAUACAACCUCCACCCACAUAUUGUUAGACAAGCUAGAACUUAGAAGUAAGAAGUUCAUCAUUUCUUUUAAAGUUCUAUUCUUUCUUUCAGUUAUGUCAUUUUGUUGUGAAAUAUAAAGGGCAGUGAACUCAUGUAUUAUGCCAUGUUUCUUACAUACUUCUUUUAGAAAAUUAGUGUUAUAUUCACCGCCUCUAUCGGAUCUAACCCAUUUAAUUCUCCUAUCAAGUUGGUCUUCUACUUCUACUUUAUAAAGAAGGAAUGCUUUAUCAGCUUCAUCUUUUUACCCUAGGAGAUAAACCUUUGUGUAUCUAGAGUAAUCAUCUACAAAGGUAAUAUAAAAUUGUUUUCCUUCUUUACUCUUUAUGUUUCUAAAAUUUGUUAGAUUUGUGUGAAUUAACUCUAAAAGUGCAGCAUUCCUAUCAGCAACAUGUUUGAAGUGAGGACUACUAUGCUUUGAUUCAACACAUAUUUCACAUUUAUUAAAGUUGUUAUCUAGAUUAGGAAGCAUUUUCAUCUCUUUAAGCAUUUUAAGGGAGUGAAAGUUCACGUGUACUAAUCUAACAUGCCACAUAUCAAGAGACUUAAGAAUGUAAGCAAAAGUAGAAGUUUUAUUAAUAGCAUUAGACACAGUCUCGAUCACAAACAACCCUUCACUCGGGUAACCUUUUCUUACAUAGUUUCCAUUACGGGAAAGUAUAAGUUUGUCAGAUUCAAAGACUAGUUUAAUGCCUGCCUUAUUUAGAAGUCCACCACUAAUCAAGUUUCUACGUAAAGUAGGAACAUACAAAACAUUAUUUAAAGUAAGUGUUUUGCCAAAAGUAAGCUUAAGUAAAAUCUUUCUUUUGCCGAGUACUUUUGAACUACUAGAAUUACCCAUUUAGACUUGUUCACCUUCAGAUACAUUCUCAAAUUCGAUGAACAUCUCUCUGUUGGCACAGAAAUGUUUAGAAGCGUUUGUGUCUACUAUCCACUCGGAGUCAUUUUUCACUAGGUUGACCUCGAAAACCACAACAGCGGUCACUUCGUCUAAAUCUUCAAUCAGGUUCGCUAAUGGUUUGUUCUCAUUCUGAUUAUGACUCUUGGAGCGAUUAGAGUGCCGAAAGCAUUGGUAUGCUCUGUGUCCUGGGCUUACUGCAUACAUAACAACUCAUUAGGUUGUUGGACUUUUGAUUCUUUCUAGGUUUCUUGAAUUUAGCGAGCUUCUUGGAUUGAACCUGUUAAGUUUAGGACCAGAAGAAGAUUCCACGAGGUUAGCCUUAAACCUGUCUAAAUCUAUUUGAAUUGCAAUUGAAUAAUGAUAAUGAUUCAUUUAUCAUUUAAUUAUAUUUUUAUUUUUUGAAUAAUCUCAUUAUAAGUUCUGAUCAUAUCUGAUCUCUUUAAGAUAUUGCCUAUAACUACCCACAGCCCCUCCCCAACCCAUAAAUAGGAGAAUAAUGCACUUCUGUGCACUCGAACCCUCGUCCUCCUACAUUGACAAAAAUACCAAUGCCAAUCGAGUUAAGACUUAAUUAACAUUUAUCAUUUAAAUUUAAAUUUAAAUAUAACAACAUUUUUUUUUGGAUACGAUGAUGUGUUAGAAAUUAAGAAAAAUAUUUAUUAUAUAAAUUUAAAUAUAAAUUAUGUUAAUGCAAUAUUUACCUUCCAACUAUAAUAUUAGUUGCAACUUAAAAAAUAAUUGACCCUUGAUUGGUAUAUUUUUACCUAAAUUAAUAUAUUCUUAUUUUGAUUACUUGUGUGGUUUAUUAGCGACGCAUCUUUGAAGUCAAACAAUCAAAUUGAACACUUUUAAUAUAAUUCAAAUUCCCUUAAAGAUGGAGUCAUAAAAGAAGUUUGAUAGCACAGAGAUCUCACUCAUUACAAGUAUAAUUAAAAACCUUUUCACUUGACUAUUUUAAUGGAAAGAAGUGGUUAUAAUUGAACAAGUCUUAUUAAAUAUACACAUUGAGAGAGCAUCUUAUUUAUUUAUAAAACGACAAUUUUAUUGAAUGCAAAAUGUUAACAUAUGUGGUUAUCUUUUUUAUUUGCCUAUUUUCAAGUUUGGCAUACUUUAGAAGAAAAAUAUUGAACUAUCUGUUGUGGGAUUAUUAAGAUGAAUUAAAACCCAAAACAUAAAAAUCAAUUAAGUUGAAAUUGAAGAUUUGAAUAUUGAUUUCUUGCGGAUAGAUAAUAUAUUAGUCUUUUAAUCAAUUUGUUCAUUUUCAAUUAGACUAAUGACAUGUUUAGGUUCAUUUAUUGAUAUAAGUUUUCUUUUCGUAUUAUGAUCCGACCAUGUAAUACUGCUUAUUAUUAGUUAAACUUUAGAUAACCAUUGAGCCAAUAUUUACUUUCAUUUUGCUUUGUGCAAAAACCAUUGAGGACAAUAUACAAAGGGUAUUGAUUUAAUUAAUGAAUAUUAUCAUUAAACCAACAUGUUCGAAAAAUGAAACCCAAACUUAGACCCUGAACUCGAACUUUAAACCCUAAAACCUAAGUUCAAGGUUACAAAUUUAGGGUUUGAGAUUCAGGUUUGAGCCUUGAGGUUUAGGGUUCAAGAUUCUGGGCUCGAGGGUCAAUGUUCAGGAUUCUGGGUUCCGAGUAAAAUAUUUCUAAAAUUAUGUGUUAAUUACAUGGAAAAAAAUUGUUGAAAUGUCAUUAAAUAAUUGGAAAAGGAACAUGGAUGAUGUGGUGGAAAAUAUCCAUAAAAUAGUUUUUGAGCUCUCAAAGUAGUCCAGACUCAUUCAAACCUAAUUUAAACUAUAGGUAGGUAGGUUUACAUACCUCUUAAGUCGCUCUUAAUUUAGAAAUUGAAUAAAUUGAUCACUCUAAAAAAAAAAGAGAAGUGAAAAAAAAUUUUAACAUUCGUGUUUUUUGCAUAAAAUUAAUUUCUUUUUCUUUUUAUUACUGCAUAGGAUAAUUUUGACAAAAAUCAUUACCACCAUCAUUAAUUAUACUUAUUUGUUGAGUUUCAAAAUUAACAUGAAUUAAUUACUUUUAGAUCAAUUUACUUAAUUUUUUUUACCAAAAAUGUGUUAGAACAUUUUCAAAUAUUUAUUGUAUCCCAAUAACUAUAAAUGAAUGGGUGUAAUUAAUCAAAAGAUAAAUCUUUUGGUCAUUGGUCAAAAGUUAUAUCAUUUGAUUUUUUAAAAAGAAUUAUAAUUAUUCAAAAAAUAUUAUUUGAAUAGUUACAAAAUUAAAUGAAUAAUUAUUAUUAUAUAUUUAUUCAUAAAGACACCUAUUGAAAGAUGUCUCUGUGAAGAGACAAGAAAAUUCCUAUAAAUAGGAAUGGGUUUUCAUUUGGAAAUAUAUCAACAAAUUCUAAUAUUAUUUCUUCUCUUCCUUCAUUUUCUAAUAUUAUUAGAUUAUUCUAUAAAGUAUUACUGCAGAAAUCCUUUGUAGAAAUUGAGUUUUUGUUACACAUUACUCAGUGCAUAGUGGACUAUUCUCGUCAGUGCAAAACGCAAAUAGUCAUUGGCUUCAUUGUAUCCUCGAGGUUAAUUUGCUUGGAACUCAUUUGCACACUGAAGAUAAGUGGGGGCGAAUAUAACCUUAAAGAUAGUGGCUUGAUACACACCUUGGAGCCUUGUCCUAUUUCUUCUUUUUCUUUUCGAGUUCCGAUCGUGUGUUCGAGAUUUUCCUUACCGGAGUUUUGUAAUAACAAUUUUAAGGUUAUAAUUCAUGAUGACUACCACAACACAUGAAAGUGGAACACUAAGGGAGUUGGCUUCCAACUUUGUUCAACUUGAUCAUUUUGAUGGUGGUAAUUUUCAACGAUGGCAGAAAAAGAUGCACUUUUUGUUAUCAACUUUGAAGAUUGCUUAUGUUUUGGAUACUCCAAGACCUGAAGAGAAUGAAAACGAAUCUGUUGCUGCAACCCGAGAAAGACAAAAAUGGGACAAUGCUGAUUACAUGUGCAUGGGCCACAUAUUGAAUGGUUUAUCUGAAGGUUUGUUCGACACCUACCAAAACGACGUCACCGCUAAAGAAUUAUGGGACAAAUUGGAGGCAAGAUACAUGACCGAAGAUGUUACAAGUAAGAAAUUUCUUGUCAGUCGUUUCAAUAAUUAUCAAAUGGUUGAUGGUCGUUCUGUUAUGGAAAAAUUUCGUGAUAUUGAAAAGAUGCUGAAUCAAUUUAAGCAAUAUGAUAUGAAAAUGGAUGAAAUGAUUGUGGUAUCCUCUAUAAUAGACAAACUUCCUCCAUCUUGGAAAGACUUUAAAAGAAGUCUAAAACAUAAGAAAGAGGAAAUAUCUCUUGAGGCUUUGGCAAAUCAUCUUCGUAUUGAAGAAGAGUAUCGAAAACAAGAUCAGAACCUAAAUUCUGAAAAUGCCAAAGUACAUGUUACGGAGGAAGUACAGACUACUAAACCAUUCACAAGAAAGUUCAAUCAGGCUGAUAGAGCACCUAAGUUCAAAAAGAAACAAAAGGGCCCAUGCUAUCAUUGUGGAAAGCCGGGACAUUUCAAGAAUGAAUGUUGAUUUUUAAAGAAGAAAUCAUCUUCUAAGGCUGAUAAUAACAAAAAGUUCGUUGCAAUGAUAUCUGAAAUUAAUAUGGUACAAGAUGAUAAUACAUGGUGGAUUGAUACCGGAGCAACCAAACAUGUGUGCAAAGACAAAAGCAUGUUCACAAAGUUCACACAAUGUGAAAAUGACAAUGUCUUGUACAUGGGAAAUUCUUCCACCGCAACAAUUAAAGGCAAAGGGUCUGUUGAACUACAAUUCACUUCUGGAAAGGUUUUAACCUUAAAUGAUGUAUAUUAUGUACCAGAAGUUAGGAAAAAUUUAGUGUCUGGAAGUCUGUUGAGUAAGUUUGGUUUCAAACUUGUUUUUGAGGCAGAUAAGUUUAUUUUGUCUAAUGGAGGAAUUUUUGUGGGAAAAGGGUAUAUGUAUGAAAGCAUGUUCAAACUUAAUAUUAUUAAUAAGAAUAAAAAUACUAUUUCUGCUUAUAUGGUUGAAUCAUUUUGUUUGUGGCAUUAUAGAUUAGGUCAUUUGAAUUAUAGAAAAUUGAAUGACAUGUAUAAAUUAGAUUUAAUUCCUGUUUUUAAUAAUAAUAUUAAAAAAUGCAAUACCUGUAUGUUGACUAAAAUUACAAGAAAUCAUUUCCCUAAGGUUAAAAGGAAAACAAGAUUGCUUGAUUUGAUACAUAGUGAUUUAUGUGACUUGCAUAAUACUCCUACAUUAGGUGGAAAGAAAUAUUUUGUUACUUUUAUUGAUGAUUGUUCUAGAUAUUGUUAUGUAUAUUUAUUGCAUUCAAAAGAUGAAGCACUUGAUAAAUUUAAAGUUUAUAAAUCUGAAGUUGAACUUCAGUGUGAAUCAUUUAUCAAGUGCUUAAGAUCGGAUAGAGGUGGAGAAUACUAUAAUCCAAGUUAUUUUGAACUCACUGGAAUUGUCCAUCAAGUUUCAGCCCCUUACACACCACAACAAAAUGGUGUAGCUGAAAGAAAAAAUAGAGUCUUGACUGAAAUUGUAAAUUCAAUGUUAUCAUAUUCAGGUCUUGGACAAGGUUUUUGGGGAGAAGCUGUUCUAACAGCUUGUCACAUAUUGAAUAGAGUUCCUAAUAAGGAAACUAAAAUAACCCCCUAUGAACAAUGGAAGAAAAGGAAACCAAACAUUAAUUAUUUGAAGGUUUGGGGUUGUAGAGCUAUUGUAAAAGUUCCAACACCUAAACGUAAAAAGUUAGGUGAAAGAGGAAUUGAAUGCAUAUUUAUAGGUUAUGCACAUAAUAGCAAGGCAUAUAGGUUCAUGGUAAUUGAACCAAAUGAUUCAAUUUCAAUUAAUACUGUUAUUGAAUCAAGAGAUGCUAUUUUUGAUGAAAAUAGAUUUAAUUCUAUAUCAAGACAAUUACAACCACAACAAUUGAUUCAUUCUUCAAAUGAGAAUGAGAUUCCAUUGAAACAAAUUGAUAAUAAUGAUGAAUCUUGUCAAGAAUUAAGAAGAAGUAAGGGGAUUAAAAAGGUAAAAGAUUUUGGACUAGAUUUCAUUAUGUUUAUUGUAGAAGGAAAAUGUGAAAGUAUAUGCAAUAAGAUACCUUAUUGUUAUAAUACCGAAUCUGAUCCUAUUACAUUUGAAGAGGCAGUGAAAUCUCAAGACUCUGCUUUUUGGAAAGAAGCAAUAAAUGAUGAGAUGGAUUCAAUAAUGGGAAAUCAAACUUGGAUCUUAGUUGAUCUUCCACCAAGUUCCAAACCAAUAGGUUGUAAAUGGAUCUUCAAAAAGAAAAUGAAGGUCGAUGGAACCAUUGAUAAAUUUAAAGCAAGGUUGGUAGCAAAAGGUUUUACACAAAGACAAGGUAUUGAUUACUUUGAUACCUAUGCUCCAGUAGCAAGAAUUGCUAUAAUUAGACUAUUAAUAUCACUUACCUCUAUAUAUAAUUUGGUUGUUCACCAAAUGGAUGUUAAAACUGCAUUUUUAAAUGGUGAAUUGGAAGAGGAAGUGUACAUGGAGCAAUCGGAAGGAUUUGUUGUUCCAGGACAAGAGCAUAAGGUAUGUAAGCUUGUUAAAUCUUUAUAUGGGCUUAAACAAGCACCAAAACAAUGGCACCAAAAGUUUGACAAGGUUGUUUUAGCUAAUGGCUAUAAAAUAAAUGAAUCCGAUAAGUGCAUAUAUAGCAAAUUUGAUAAUGGAAAGGGUGUCAUAAUUUGCUUAUAUGUAGAUGACAUGCUCAUUUUUGGCACGGAUUUGGAACAAAUAGAAAACACAAAGAAAUUCUUGUCAAACAACUUUGCUAUGAAGGAUAUGGGUGUAGCAGAUGUUAUUCUUGGGAUUAAAAUAACCCGAGAUAAAAGCACUAUGGCUUUAUCACAAUCACAUUACAUUGAAAAUGUGCUUAAAAAGUUUGAUAUCUUCAACUGUAUACCAGCAUCUACACCUAUGGAUCCUCAAUUAAAAUUAGUAUCUAAUGCUGGUAGGAAAAUUGAUCAAUUGAAAUAUGCAAGUCUAAUUGGUUGUCUUAUGUAUAUAAUGACUUGUACAAGACCAGAUAUUGCAUAUGCUGUUGGAAAAUUGAGUAGGUACACAAGUAAUCCAAGUAGUUUGCAUUGGCAAGCUUUGAAUAGAGUACUUAGGUACUUAAAAAAACUAUUAACUAUGGAUUGUGUUAUAAUGGAUAUCCUCCAGUUUUAGAAGGGUAUUCGUAUGCUAGUUGGAUUACAAGUUUGGAAGAUCAUGCAUCUACUAGUGGAUGGAUCUUCAUUCUUGGUGGAGGAGUCAUUUCUUGGGGUUCCAAGAAACAAACAUGUAUUACUGAUUCCACCAUGGCAGCAGAAUUUAUUGCAUUAGCCGCUGCAUCUAAAGAAGCAGAAUGGUUAAGAAAUUUGCUUUAUGAUGUACCUUUAUGGCCUAAGCCAAUUUCACCUAUUUCUAUCCAUUGUGAUAGUGAGGCUACUCUAGCAAAGACAUAUAGCCAAGUAUAUAAUGGAAAGUUUAGACACAUUGGAUUAAGACAUAGUUAUGUCCGACAAUUAAUCUCUGAUGGAGUGACCACUAUUAAUUAUGUGAGGUCAAGUGAAAAUUUGGCAGAUCCUUUGACAAAAAGUCUUGCUAAAGAUGCAGUAAAAAGGACCUCAAAAGGGAUGGGACUCAAGCCUAUUAAUUAGAGUCACCCAUGAUGGAAACUCGACUCAACGCUUGGUAUAACGUCAAGUCUUGAGUUCAAUGAGACAAAGUACAUCAUUAGUAUGUGACUGUUAGCACUAUAAAUAAAUUCAUCCUAAGAUUAAAGUGCUAGGUACUCGUAAUGAUAAGGGAAGGAUGAGUAAUAUACUCUUAAUGGACCCAUAACAUAAAUAUGUUAGAGUGUUAUAAUUAUGGGAACACUUUUGAUGGGAUCUACCUAUGUGAGUGGAAGUGUGGCCGCUUCUAGGAGCUUAAGGGCUUGGCUCUGACAGCACUCAUGAAAAGAGGACAUAGACACAUGGCCAUAAUAGUGUCCCUAGAUACUAAGCAUUGACUGAUGUUGAAAUCAUUGUGUGAGAUGUGUUCAGUUAAUCAAAUGGAAUAGUUGGUUCAAAGCUUAGUCUACCAUGCAAUUUCGAUUAACUUUAACAUGUUUUUCACUAAGUGAAGGUUCAAUCGUAAGACACCUUUAUUUAUGCAAAUUGAUUUCCAAGAAUAUCAAAAUCUAAAUAUUUUGAAAAUGGGGGGAGAUUGUUAGAACAUUUUCAAAUAUUUAUAGUAUCCCAAUAACUAUAAAUGAAUGGGUGUAAUUAAUCAAAAGAUAAAUCUUUUGGUCAUUGGUCAAAAGUUAUAUCAUUUGAUUUUUUAAAAAAGAAUUAUAAUUAUUCAAAAAAUAUUAUUUGAAUAGUUACAAAAUUAAAUGAAUAAUUAUUAUUAUAUAUUUAUUCAUAAAGACACAUAUUGAAAGAUGUCUCUAUGAAGAGACAAGAAAAUUCCUAUAAAUAGGAAUGGGUUUUCAUUUGGAAAUAUAUCAACAAAUUCUAAUAUUAUUUCUUCUCUUCCUUCAUUUUCUAAUAUUAUUAGAUUAUUCUAUAAAGUAUUACUGCAGAAAUCCUUUGUAGAAAUUGAGUUUUUGUUACACAUUACUCAGUGCAUAGUGGACUAUUCUCGUCAGUGCAAAACGCAAAUAGUCAUUGGCUUCAUUGUAUCCUCGAGGUUAAUUUGCUUGGAACUCGUUUGCACACUGAAGAUAAGUUGGGGCGAAUAUAACCUUAAAGAUAGUGGCUUGAUACACGCCUUGGAGCCUUGUUCUAUUUCUUCUUUUUCUUUUCGAGUUCCGAUCGUAUGUUCGAGAUUUUCCUUACCGGAGUUUUGUAAUAACAAAAUGUAGCAUUCAUAUCUCAUAUCCAUAGAGAGAGUGAGGUGGGGAGAGCCAUAACCGCUGUUGUCACUUUCACAUGUCACAGAAUUUUUAAAUAUAUUAUAUACCUUAUUCAUUGUUCUAAUUUUCCCUUAUCCAUUUAUUCCUUUUAUUUGUUUAUUUUGGGAUGAGAAAUGAUAAUAUAGGAAAAGAACCACUGUGACUCUUGGAGCGAUUAGAGUGCCGAAAGCAUUGGUAUGCUUUGUGUCCUAGCUUGCUGCAUACAUAACAACUCAUUGGGUUGUUCGACUUUUGAUUCCUUCUCGGUUUCUUGAAUUUAGCAAGCUUCUUGGAUUGAACCUGUUAAGUUUAGGACCAGAAGAAGAUUCCACGAGGUUAGCCUUAAACCUGUCUAAAUCUAUUUUUUAGCCUUGUACUUUUAUCUAAAUUUUAUUAUAUUCCGAAAACAUAUUUAAAUUUGGGUAAUAAUAGAAUUCUUGAACAAAUCUAUUCGAAUUGCAAUUGAAUAAUGAUAAUGAUUCAUUUAUCAUUUAAUUAUAUUUUUAUUUUUUUGAAUAAUCUCAUUAUAAGUUCUGAUCAUAUCUGAUCUUUUUAAGAUAUUGCCUAUAACUACCCACAGCCCCUCCCCAACCCAUACAUAGGAGAAUAAUGCACUUCUGUGCACCCGAACCCUCAUCCUCCUACAUUGACAAAAAUACCAAUGCCAAUCGAGUUAAGACCUAAUCAACAUUUAUCAUUUAAAUUUAAAUUUAAAUAUAACAACAUAUUUUUUUUGGAUACGACGAUGUGUAAGAAAUUAAAAAAAUAUUUAUUAUAUAAAUUUAAAUAUAAAUUAUUACCUUCCAACUAUAAUAUUAGUUGCAACUUAAAAAAUAAUUGACCGUUGAUUGAUAUAAUUUUACCUAAAUUAAUAUAUUCUUAUUUUGAUUACUUGUGUGGUUUAUUAGCGACGCAUCUUUGAAGUCAAACAAUCAAAUUGAACACUUUUAAUAUAAUUCAAGUUCCCUUAAAGAUGGAGUCAUAAAAGAAGUUUGAUAGCAGAGAGAUCUCACUCAUUACAUGUAUAAUUAAUAACCUUUUUACUUCACUAUUUUAAUGGAAAGAAGUGGUUAUAAUUGAACAAGUCUUAUUAAAUAUACACAUUGAGAGAGCAUCUUAUUUAUUUAUAAAACAAUAAUUUUAUUGAAUGCAAAAUGUUUACAUAUGUGGUUAUCUUUUUUAUUUGCCUAUUUUCAAGUUUGGCAUACUCUACAAGAAAAAUAUUGAACUAUCUGUUGUGGGAUUAUUAAGAUGAAUUAAAACCCAAAACAUAAAAACCAAUUAAGUUGAAAUUGAAGAUUUGAAUAUUGAUUUCUUGCGGAUAGAUAAUAUAUUAGUCUUUUAAUCAAUUUGUUCAUUUUCAAUUAGACUAAUGACAUGUUUAGGUUCAUUUAUUGAUAUAAGUUGUCUUUUCGUAUUAUGAUCCGACCAUGUAAUACUGCUUAUUAUUAGUUAAAGGUUAGAUAACCAUUGAGCCAAUAUUUACUUUCAUUUUGCUUUGUGCAAAAACCAUUGAGGACAAUAUACAAAGGGUAUUGAUGUAAUUAAUGAAUAUUAUCAUUAAACCAACAUGUUCGAAAAAUGAAACCCAAACCUAGACCUUGAACUCGAACUUUAAACCCUAAAACCUAAGUUCAAGGUUAGAGGUUUAGGGUUUGAGCCUUGAGGUUUAGGGUUCAAGAUUCUGGGUUCCGGGUUCAGGGUAAAAUAUUUCUAAAAUUAUGUGUUAAUUACAUGGAAAAAAAUUGUUGAAAUGUCAUUAAAUAAUUGGAAAAGGACCAUGGAUGAUGUGGUGGAAAAGAUCCAUAAAAUAGUUUUUGAGCUCUCAAAGUAGUCCGGACUCAUUCAAACCUAAUUUAAACUCUAGGUAGGUAGGUUUACAUACCUCUUAAGUCACUCUUAAUUUAGAAAUUGAAUAAAUUGAUCACUCUAAAAAAAAAGAAGUGAAAAAAAAAUUUAACAUUCGUGUUUCUUGCAUAAAAUUAAUUUCUUUUUCUUUUUAUUACUGCAUAGGAUAAUUUUGACAAAAAUCAUUACCACCAUCAUUAAUUAUACUUAUUUGUUGAGUUUCAAAAUUAACAUGAAUUAAUUACUUUUAGCAUUCAUAUCUCAUAUCCAUAGAGAGAGUGAGGUGGGGAGAGCCAGAACCGCUGUGGUCACUUUCACAUGUCACAGAAUUUUUAAAUAUAUUAUAUACCUUCUUCAUUGUUCUAAUUUUCCCUUAUCCAUUUAUUCCUUUUAUUUGUUUAUUUUGGGAUGAGAAAUGAUAAUAUAGGAAAAGAACCACUGUGAAACACACAAAGGAUAAGUGGAUAAGAAUUCCCCAAUACCCCAAAAUAGGAUUUGGUCUCAAUUUCUCACCUCCAAAUGCUCAUCCACUUAAACUUGUGAUUUCCAUAUAAUUUAAUAUAAAUAUAUAUUCUUACAUGUUUUAAUAUGUAUCCCAUUUUUUUAAUAUAAAACCUUUUUUUUUUCUGAUAUUUUUCAUUGCCAGUCAGUCCCUUAUUAAUAAGUAGAGUAUUUCCAUAACUGGUUUAAUUCCCUUCAUGCACUGUGCUCCAUAGUCUUGGAACCCAAGGGUAUGCCUUUUCUCUACCUUAUUUCAUUGUCUUUUGGCCAUGUUGGUUUAGACGGUAGACUUUCUAUGAUUCUGCUGCAUUAAUAUUCAAUUUUACACUACAUUUCCCCAUGUUUAUGUUUUGCUAUGUUAGCUAAAUUCAAGUUUAAGUCUCUGAUAUUGGUGUGUUUGACAUAUAAACUUUAUCCCGAGUUCUGGGAUGAUUUUUUUUCUAUAUCCAUAUUCGAACAAAUGAAUUUGGCUCAGUAGUUUGUAUUUAUGUUUUUCUAUUGAAUAUUUUGGGUUAAAUAUCUUUUCUUCUUGUUCUUUUUAUCUCAAUUUAUGUUAUUUAAAUUGAAGUUGAAUGUUAAAAUAUGAGUAUGUAUCUAGAACGAAUAUAUCUAAUGUAUUUGAAGUAUCCUAUAAUAUAUUCAAUAUUGAAUGAAGAUGCUUAAAGAAAAAAUAAAAGUUUUGGGAGUUAAUUUUCAUGUUAAACAUGGAGUUAAAAGUGGUAGGCACUGAGAAUUGUAAACGUAUUGAAAAAUGGUAGCAAAGGGCUCCCAAAGUCAAUUUCUUAAUUUCAAAGGUUAGAGCCUCACUUAUUUUAAUUGGUUUUGUAUCUUACAUAUCUUAUCGAGUCAAUUUUAGUAAAAAUUUAUGCUAAUACGAAUCAAAAGAGUUUCUAUUUUUGAUAAUUUAAAGGAAUUUUUAAAUAUAUUAAAAGAAAUUCUAAAUGCAUAGAAAAAUUUAAAAUAUUUAUAUACACAAUGAACCAUGUCUAUGUAACAUAAGUUUAAUUAGUUUCUUCUCAUCUCUAUACUUUUAUGCAUGCAUUUGGAACUUUGAUAUAAUUUUAGUAUUAUUUUCUAAAAAUAUUAAAAGAAUACUUUUAAAAAUAUUGAUUUAAUUAUUUAAAUUUUUAUGUAAAGCUAGGUGGAUAAUGAGUGCAAAAAAAGACGCUCAUAGUCUAGGUCUUGAAGCCCGACAUUUGAUUGAACUAUCGUCCGUACCAUUUAGUCUGGUUACAUUGUUUUGGUCCCUAAUCCUAACUGGUAUCAUUUGUUUUUUCAGACAGCAGACUCUUUUAACAUUUCACCGCAAAGAUGGAGAUAACAAAUGUGAGCGAGUAUCAAGAAAUUGCAAAGCAAAAGUUGCCAAAGAUGGCGUAUGACUACUAUGCAUCUGGUGCUGAGGACCAAUGGACAUUGCAUGAGAAUAGAUUUGCUUUCACUAAGAUACUGUGAGCUUUUUUUUUUCAAAACAAGACCAGAUCGUUCCUUUAUUGCUAAAUGUUUAUGUCUCAAUUUGUUGACUUUCUUUGUUCUUAAGGUUUCGUCCUCGUAUUCUCAUCGAUGUAAGCAAGAUAGACAUGACCACGACUGUGUUGGGUUUCAAGAUAUCAAUGCCUAUCAUGAUUGCCCCAACUGCCUUCCAAAAAAUGGCUCAUCCUGAAGGUAUGGAAUCGGUUUCAUUUUGUUAUUUAGUUCUUGUUUCAUGGAAGCCAAUUUGAGUGAGAUCCCUUUCAAUUUGUGUGACAGGGGAGUAUGCAACAGCUAGGGCUGCAUCUGCUGCUGGAACUAUCAUGGUUUGGCUUCUCAUUCCCGAUUAAUUUAACCCCAAUCGUCGAAUGUUUUUAUGCUAAAACCGAUCCAUAACCGAUGACAGUGUUCCAAUUCAUUUUUAACUUGCUUGCUGAUCAUUUCAGACAUUAUCCUCAUGGGCAACUUCUAGUGUUGAGGAGGUUGCUUCGACAGGACCCGGCAUUCGGUUUUUCCAACUCUAUGUAAGUUCAAAAAUGCAUACAUUGGUGUCCUGUAUUUGUUCAUCAACUGAUCUUCGAUGUCGAAUCUCAAGGUAUACAAGGACAGGAAUGUAGUUGCACAGCUCGUUAGAAGAGCCGAGAGGGCUGGUUUCAAGGCAAUUGCCCUUACAGUUGAUACUCCGAAACUCGGUCGCAGAGAAGCUGAUAUCAAGAACAGGUAUUAUUGUCUCGCAGUGUCUUUGAGACUGUUAAGCAUUCUUCGUAAUAUAUUCGAGUUACACUCAAAGAGUCUUAUGUUUCAAAAUUCCCUUGCAGGUUCACUUUACCCCCAUUUUUGACAUUGAAGAACUUUGAAGGUUUGGACCUUGGCAAGAUGGAUCAAGUGAGUAGUCCUUUCGACAUUAGUGUUAAAAAAUAUACUAAUGAGAUGAGCAUUUGUUUCCUAAGAUAUUUAACUUGUUAUUGGGAGCCAUGCAGGCUGAUGACUCGGGUCUUGCUUCGUAUGUUGCCGG